rnacentral:rRNA from 1 species
UACAGAGGUCUCAAGCGUUGUUCGGAAUCACUGGGCGUAAAGCGUGCGUAGGCUGUUUCGUAAGUCGUGUGUGAAAGGCGCGGGCUCAACCCGCGGACGGCACAUGAUACUGCGAGACUAGAGUAAUGGAGGGGGAACCGGAAUUCUCGGUGUAGCAGUGAAAUGCGUAGAUAUAUGGAGGAACACCGGUGGCGAAAGCGGCUCUCUGGCCUGUAACUGACACUGAGGCUCGAAAGCGUGGGGAGCAAACAGG